UUGAAAACCUAAGCGCAUAAAAAGGAUAACAACGAAAACUGCUGAGAGAUCAGUUUCUCUCUUUUCUUCUUGAGAGAAGUUUAAAACCCAUCUUAAUUCAUCAAAUGAUGACCAGAUUGAAGAACCAUAGACUGUUCUACUAUUUUCAAUGAUACGAAUGGUAGGCGAUUUGUACAAAUAAUGACCAUAUCGAAGAACCACCAACGCUGAUGGCAGAUUGCUAAAGAAGACGAUCCAAUCCGUGGUUGUAGGCACAAAAUCUGAAGUUUGUCACAUAGACAACAGGUCCUUUGUUCUCUUUUUUCAGAUUUACUUAUCUUCUUUUUUAUUUAUUGGCGAAAUUUAGUAUAUCCAAAUCAAUUUGGUGGACGAAAUUUGGUAAACCAUUUUGACUUUUUGCCAAAAAAAAAUUGAGUUAAAUGAUAAUACAAAGCUUUUUAAUGAUUGAACGAUUCAACAUAAAAAAUGAUAGGAUACGAAUGAAGGAAGGUGUUAAGCAGAGAAUCAAGGUGUUCCUCCUCGAACAUCACUUCACAAUCUAUUCGUUUGCGUGUGCUGGCAUUAAUUGUAGAAAAAGCAAUAUCUAUUGUUACAUAUGUUUUGAUAAAUAUUAUUUCAUUGAUAUAGCUAAGUGAUCGGGAAAUUUUUACAAAGUACUCAGUAUUUUCUUAUUGAAUGAUGCUCUUCAUCCGAUUUUAUGUGUUAUCUACCGUGUAUAAAAUGCUCAACGGAUUUUUUACCAUUCAGUGAUCAUAUAUUUGUUGAUUUGAUCCUCACCUGAAUCAGAAAGUUGCUAAACGCAAGUUAGUGGCCUCGAGAAUUCUCCUGGACAAAGAAAAAAUGGCCUUUGAAUUGCUACUAGGUAGGCAUUGCAUUUGCUUCAGCAUAUAUCCUGAGUAGCAGCUAAGCAGGUACUUUUUCAGUACACAUACUCAUAUAUUGGUGGUUAUAGAUAGAUUUGGAGCAUUCCUACUAUGGUAAUUCCAUUGACUAACUGUGACUCUUUAAUUUGCUACAUAAAUUAUGCAAACUUUGUUGGUUUUUAGCAUUUUCAUUUUUGACUUGUGGCAUAUAUGAUUUAUAUACAAGAUUUAGUACAUGUGUGACAAGAGGGAUACAUUUAAGUAAUGAUUAACUGCUACUUAUAGUCUCAUCUGCCUUACCUUGAAGUUUGAUGAAUAAUGGAAUCGGACUUUCUAUUUCAAUAUGCACAUAAAUUUAAACUUAUGUAUAUAAAUAAAGCAUAUGAUAUUGUUUCUCUAAUCAACUUGAUGAGCAAGAAAUAUAUUAUUUUUUAAACUCCGAUUAUUAUUGAUCUUGAAACUUUAUGUGUCCUCCUUUCUUGCAUCUUAAUUGGCUCAAUCAUUCACCAAACUUUACCUCUAAGAAUAUAUUUGAACUCUUUUGGAUACUAACUAGAAAAAACAUGAGAUAUAAGUUUACCUUUGUUGUAUGCUUUCGACUUUUUAAUAUAUUUAUCGUAUAUUAAUUUAUCUAUUUAUGGUAAUAAUGAAUUGACAGGUUCAACUUCUUAAAUUAAUACAGGAGCGAUAUGUUACACUAACAUUGCGAAUGCAAGAAGAGACUCAUGUGAAAGUCGUGUAAACAAGGUAAGAGACAAAAGAAAUUUAGAAUCAAUAGAUUUUUAGCUUUAUUUCAUAAACUUCUUCGAAUCUAUGCUUUCCGUUAUACAAUACAAGUAUUUAUACGUGAAAUUAAAUGCACUACAUUGGCAAGUACUACCAUGAAGAUCCGUGAAAUAUGAUUUCAAACAUUGCUCUUGAGCUUUCGUGUAUAAAAGCUUUAAACAUUAAACCCUCAAUAUUUUAAUAGUUGGAUUGCUGUUGGAAAUAGAACAAUUCUUAAGAUGCAACUGAUUGAUUUAAUUGCGAGGCAAAAAGAAGUAUUUCAUGCAAUCCCAAUAAUGACUGACACUCUAUGUUUAGGUAGGCAACAUCCUUUAAAUUCAGACUCGACUUCAUAUCCCAUAAACUCAAAAGAGACCAAUAUUGUACAAGCAGAGGAAAACAAAUAAUAUAAGAUGUCUUCAUUCUAAAUAAGUGAUUGAUAAUCUUUAUGCGGAAAAAAAAAAGAAAGAUGAGUUGAAUCACUAAAUUAUGAAGUGGCUUGAUAGUGCUAUAGUAAAUAAAGUUUUUUGGUCGAAAGAUAUAAUUGAACAACCGUGGAAAUAUGUGAGAAAGAGGUUGAGGCAUAAAUGGUUAUGAAAUCACCGAAUAGACAAUGGUCUAGAUUGAAUUGUGUAUGUGCAAGAAAUUUAUAAUUUUAGUGUGUAUCCAUAUGAAGAAAAGGUUUGCGUUCAUGUGUUUUCUGUAUUAGUUGUGUGUGAAUAUGAAUAUGAUACUGAAUUUGUGGAGUCUUUGAGGUCGCUCUAUGACGUUCAAAGUAAGUUGCAAAUUCAAACAACUAGAAGGAAAAUUGGCAAGCAGUUUUAUCCAAAAAAAUAUUAAACUAAUAAGAUGUCACUAUAUAAACCAACCAGUCAAACCUCAUAGCAGUUGUAAACAUGCAUUCUGUGAAGAUUUUUUUUCGGGAUUGCACAUGGCUGGUUUUUGAGGUACAAAAAUGAAGAUGAAUUAGUGGCCGUAAGAGGUUCACCAAGAUAUGUUAGGUGGUCUAGGAAGCAUCUCAAGUAAAUUUCUCUCAUUAUUAUUAUCUACUGCUUUAUUUUGAAUAGGCCGUGAAUGUAAAAUUUAAUUACUAGAUUGUAUCUUCUUGGUGUUGUAAUUUGGCAUAUUUACCUCUAAAGUAACUUUAUUGAUUUUGCUUGGAUCAUUAAGUUUUUUUUUUUUGGUAAAGUAAGAUUAAACAUCAAGUCUUUGUAUUUAGAACUAUAGCAACAUAAAGAAUAGGAAAAACUUGCGGUUAGUAUGAUCGGGGUUAAAACUUGCUUUUUUCAAAGUACAUAAAUAAGUGAAAAUGCUUUUAGAUUGCUUGUUGCCAUUAUUUUUAGCUUAUAGUGUUUUAGGAGCUUCUCUAUUUCGCAUAAAUAUUUUUCAGAAGGUCAAUUGAUAAAAAGGAAUAAUUAGCAUCAAUUUAUUUAUUAUAACAAUUUUCUUCAAAAUGACCAAUAUUGGUGAAGGCAAGUAAAGGUAAAGAAAGUAAUAUAUCUAACUUUUAUCCAAUAUUUUUAUUUAUUGGACCACCAACAUGAUCAUGAACAAUCUUUUUUUCCCAUCUUUCUGAGCAUUAUAGAAGCAAAACUAAAAAGUAUAAGUAUACAAAUUUAUUCUCAACUCUACGCCUUUCCUACUUAUAUACAAGUCCAGUUAUUAUGUAUUGUGGACAACUUUUCGAGAUACUACAAGUAACUUUGUGAAGAUUAAUAACUAUUUUUAUUUAGUUAUCGUGUGUAACUUUUUCCUUUCAAGACUCUUUUGUUUAAAACUGCUUUUGUUUUAAUAAUGUUUGUCUGUCCCGUUUAUAUCGAGUUAUUUUCUUUGUUCAACGAUAGAGACGCAGAAAACAUAAAAAUUAAAGUCGUCCUUCUCAUUGUUGGCUUAGAGGCUGAUUUUGAAGUUUAAUUUGGACAUAAGGUCGAGCAACGGAAUCUUGAGGGAACAAAUCCUUAACAAAUGGUUAUCGCCAUGCCAAACAGUACAACAUUAGAAGUGCAAAGCAAGGUUGAUGUUGGAGGUUACAUUGCUUCGGCUCAGCCAACCGGUGCCGAUGAUAUCCGAGCACUUUUAAUUGGAGAUCUGCAAUUUUGGAUGAAUGAAUAAUAUCUCUAUAUAUAGCUGAUUUGCAAAUAUUGGAAAUGUACUAAAGUUUCUGAAAUAAAUUGUUGUUGCUGAGUGUUUUAAUAUGUAAAACUAUAUCUUAGGGAGAAGAAUAGAUCUAUUAAAUUGUUGUGAGAAUAUUGUUUUCAUAUGCUUUGGAUUGAUCUUCUAUUGAGGGUAAUGCAGGUUUACCUGAGGUAAAUGAAUAUUACUCAUUGGUGUUUAUAUGCA
rnacentral:lncRNA from 1 species